rnacentral:tRNA from 1 species
GUACCCGUAGCUCAGCUGGAUAGAGCGUUGCCCUCCGGAGGCGAAGGUCGGAGGUUCGAAUCCUCUCGGGUACGCCA